rnacentral:sRNA from 1 species
UCACCACAUCCUCCAGUGCUUGAGAUAGC